rnacentral:rRNA from 1 species
AUACGUAGGGAGCGAGCGUUGUCCGGAAUCAUUGGGCGUAAAGAGCAUGUAGGUGGAUCAAUAAGUCUGCUGUGAAAGUCGAAGGCUCAACCUUCGAAAGCCGGUGGAUACUGUUGAUCUAGAGUACGGAAGAGGCGAGUGGAAUUCCUGGUGUAGUGGUGGAAUGCGCAGAUAUCAGGAGGAACACCAAUAGCGAAGGCAGCUCGCUGGGACGUAACUGACACUGAGAUGAC